rnacentral:rRNA from 1 species
GACGGAGGGGGCUAGCGUUGUUCGGAAUUACUGGGCGUAAAGAGGGCGUAGGUGGUUUAGUAAGUUGGACGUGAAAGCCCGGGGCUUAACCUCGGAAUAGCUUUCAAAACUACUAAUCUAGAGUAUAGUAGGGGAUGAUGGAAUUCCUAGUGUAUAGGUGAAAUUCUUAGAUAUUAGGAGGAACACCGGUGGCGAAGGCGGUCAUCUGGGCUACAACUGACACUGAUGCACGAAAGCGUGGGGAGCAAACAGG